UACGUAGGUGGCGAGCGUUUGUCCGGAUUUACUGGGCGUAAAGGGAGUGUAGGUGGAUGCUUAAGUCAGAUGUGAAAUACCCGGGCUCAACCUGGGAACUGCAUUUGAAACUGGGCGUCUAGAGUGCAGGAGAGGAAAGCGGAAUUCCUGGUGUAGCGGUGAAAUGCGCAGAUAUCAGGAGGAACACCGAUGGCGAAGGCGGGUCUCUGGGCCGAUACUGACGCUGAGGAGCGAAAGCGUGGGGAGCGAACAGG
rnacentral:rRNA from 1 species